AUACAACUGACGAGUCCCAAAUUGGACGAGACGCUCGUCCUGUAU
rnacentral:hammerhead_ribozyme from 1 species